rnacentral:lncRNA from 1 species
AAAAGUUAUCCCCGCCAUAUUUUCUCAGAACCCAGAAGGGAAAUCCUCCAAGAACAAAGAGCUUCACCAGAAUCUGAGAGUGUGGCUCAAAAUCAUUCUGGGAACCAUUCAUCAUCAUCCCUCUUCAAGCUCCUCUAACUACAUCUCACGAACCAAAAGUGCAUUCUUUAUUGUCUUCACAAAGGUCUGAAGCAGAACCUUU